UAGGCGAGGCACAAGGGACUGCGAGACCAGGCCUGAAGGCAGAGAGGUCAGCAGGCUCGGGGGCCUCUGCUCCAGCGGACAACAAGCGCACCGGGCGGGAACGGCCGCCUCCCCAGGCGCUGCAGCCUAGCUCUCAUGUGACCCACGGAACUUAGCCCCUCUGUUCUGUUUGCAUACCUGCAAAUUGUGGGCAUUCACGCCGGGACUGCCAACUCACCAGGUUAUUUAUAGUGACAAGAGAGUGAGACAGUGGGCUUGAAAGUGUUUUCCAGACCAAGGCUCUGUCCCACAUAUAGGUGGAUUAACUGUCUGGCAAAGGCAGGAAUCCAUUGAAGAGGCCAUCUCCACAUUCAGAACCAAGGAUGUGGCAGAAAGAAUGUUCUAGGACUUCCAAGCCUCGUCAUUAAGCAAAAGCAUUAAGCAAACCCCACAGCUUCUGCUUUGUACUCUGGAAAAUGCCAGCCACCCAUGAGGAGAGACCACCCUGCUAGCCACAGGGAGAGGCUAUGUGAAAAGAAAGAGAUGCCUGGCCAGCUCUAGCUCUUCAGCUCAUCCCAGCUGAGCUACCAGACACAUGAGUGGAAAAGCCCUUAGGAAGUUCCAGCUCCAGCAGACACCAUACUGAACAGAGGAGAGAUAAGCCAUCCCCACGGAGCACUGCCAAAAUGACGGCAUUGUGAACAAAUAAAUGAUCAUUGUUUUAAGGCAC
rnacentral:lncRNA from 10 species